rnacentral:lncRNA from 1 species
AUGUACGUUAAACGUAAGUAUGUAUGUGGGAUCAUGCAAUACCCUAAUGUCCAAACAACCUGGUUUUACGGAAUCAAGUUAACAAGUGAUGCAACCGGAGAUGUUUAGAGCCGAGAGAGAGCUUCGAGAAGGACAACUGCCAUUGACGUUGAGAGAGGGAAGAGGGGUAUCGAGCACAGGGGACUUCGAAGGAGGGGAGCUGAUCAUCGACUUUAAGAAGGUGCUUAGG